UUGAACUAUAACUAUAGCUCAAUGCUCAUACUUCGUUCAUCGUUGUCGUUCAACAUAAAUAAAUAUUUAGAUUGUUUACGUUUUAACUUUUAAUAAGGCGUACCUACAUAUAAAAAUAAAUUUUAUUGGUAACAUAAUAAUUACAUCAAUAAGAACUGUAUGUUAUAUUGACAGUUAUGGAGGUAGUGGAAGAAGAAAACCCAUUACGAAUUUAUACUGAAGCAACAAAUAAUCUUCAUAUUAAUUUAAAAAAUAGUGUUGGACGACCAAGAAAAAAAAGUGAAAUACAAUUUAGUCCGCAACCAAAAUCUAUAAUAUCUAUUCUACUAAGUAAAGAAAAAAAAUAUACCGAAAACGGUGAAAAUUUUAAAAACAAAAUUAAUAAUCGUACCGUGCGGAAUGAUGCGACGACCGAGGAUUAUUCAAAACGGGAGCAAAAUGACCAAAGUGAUUGUUCUGAACAAAAUAUAGAAUUUCAAACAGAUAA